CCUACGGGGGGCAGCAGUGGGGAAUAUUGGACAAUGGGGGGAACCCUGAUCCAGCCAUGCCGCGUGUGUGAAGAAGGCCCUCGGGUUUUAAAGCACUUUCAGUGAGGAAGAACGCCUGGUGGUUAAUACCCAUCAGGAAAGACAUCACUCACAGAAGAAGCACCGGCUAACUCCGUGCCAGCAGCCGCGGUAAUACGGAGGGUGCGAGCGUUAAUCGGAAUUACUGGGCGUAAAGCGCGCGUAGGUGGCUUGAUAAGCCGGUUGUGAAAGCCCCGGGCUCAACCUGGGAACGGCAUCCGGAACUGUCAAGCUAGAGUGCAGGAGAGGAAGGUAGAAUUCCCGGUGUAGCGGUGAAAUGCGUAGAGAUCGGGAGGAAUACCAGUGGCGAAGGCGGCCUUCUGGACUGACACUGACACUGAGGUGCGAAAGCGUGGGUAGCAAACAGGAUUAGAUACCCCAGUAGUC
rnacentral:rRNA from 1 species